AGAUAUCCACCGCCAGCUGCAAGGGAAAGGCAAAUGUUGGGGCAAGAAACGGAGUAAGAGCACGCCUGGCUAUUGGCAACCACAUAGCCCGGUAAGCCAU
rnacentral:ribozyme from 1 species